GCCCUUAGAGUUUGAUCAUGGCUCAGGAUGAACGCUAGCGGCAGGCUUAACACAUGCAAGUCGAACGGUAACAGGGGUAGCAAUACCCGCUGACGAGUGGCGCACGGGUGCGUAACGCGUAUGCAACUUGCCCUGUACUGGGGGAUAGCCCCGGGAAACCGGGAUUAAUACCCCAUAAUGUUAUAAGAGGGCAUCCUUUUAUAAUUAAAGCUACGGCGGUACAGGAUGGGCAUGCGUGCCAUUAGUUGGUUGGUGAGGUAACGGCUCACCAAGGCUAUGAUGGCUAGGGGGUCUGAGAGGAUGGUCCCCCACACUGGUACUGAGACACGGACCAGACUCCUACGGGAGGCAGCAGUGAGGAAUAUUGGUCAAUGGGCGGAAGCCUGAACCAGCCAUGCCGCGUGCAGGAUGACGGCCCUAAGGGUUGUAAACUGCUUUUGUAUGGGAAGAAUACCCUGGUUGCGACCGGGAUUGACGGUACCAUACGAAUAAGCAUCGGCUAACUCCGUGCCAGCAGCCGCGGUAAUACGGAGGAUGCAAGCGUUAUCCGGAUUCAUUGGGUUUAAAGGGUGCGCAGGCGGAAUAGCAAGUCAGUGGUGAAAGUCUACAGCUUAACUGUAGAAUUGCCAUUGAAACUGUUAUUCUUGAAUUCAGUUGAGGUAGGCGGAAUGUGUAAUGUAGCGGUGAAAUGCAUAGAUAUUACACAGAACACCGAUUGCGUAGGCAGCUUACUAAACUGAGAUUGACGCUGAGGCACGAAAGCGUGGGGAGCAAACAGGAUUAGAUACCCUGGUAGUCCACGCUGUAAACGAUGAUUACUGGAUGUGUGCGAUACACUGUACGUGUCUGAGCGAAAGCAUUAAGUAAUCCACCUGGGGAGUACGUCGGCAACGAUGAACUCAA
rnacentral:rRNA from 1 species